rnacentral:lncRNA from 1 species
GCACUAUAUAAGUGUUAUUUGUUAAAUUUAAUUUAUUAUUUCUGAUCUGUAUGUUUGAAAUGUAGAGACAUUUGAUUAUGUUUUUAGCUGAAGUUGCCUUUUUGUUUUACCUCUACAGUGUUUGACUAUGGGAUGAUAAUAUUAAAUUACUCUGUUGGAGUUAGUGGAAAAUCAAACUCAGUUUCUCUUAUUAUGCACUUACUAUAUAGGUUACUUUUGCGAUCCCAAAGCUUGUGGGAUUUCUUCCCACAAGCAAAUAAGCAAUUGAUUCUAUAGCAGACCCCAUCUGGCAUCUUUCAGUUCAGUUCUGAAGAUAACAUCAGAUCCCAUGGUUUGAAGUGUCAGUCUCCAAGGAUGCCCCCAACUGUUCAGAUUCUUCUUGGUCCCUCUUUGCAGCAUUUCUUCCUCCUGGGUAUGCACUCUCUCUGAAAUGGAAGACUUAUGAUCUAUUAGCCAAAGGAGGUCAGAGAACUUCUUUAUAGCCAACUCUGAGACAAAUGUGGGAGAAGAUCAGCCUAUGACCACAUUGGGGAAGAGAAAUUCUAGCAUCUAUGAUUUGUCUUGGUGAAGGAGCAGGUGGAAGGGUGGCUGAGGUAAGUGUUUGCAGGAUGCAGAGGUGCAUGCCUAUAAUCCCAGCUACUCAAAAGGCUGAGGCAGGAGAAUGGAAAGUUUUAAGGCCAGCCUGGGCAACUUAGUAGUGAGACCUUGUCUAAAUAAAUAAAUAGGUAAAUUUCAGAUGUCUGUAUAUAAAUGAUAGUAUCUGGUGUAAUUCAUUAAUUCAAUAUUCAGUAUUUUCUUUUGAGUUUUUUGUAUAUCUUAUGCAUAUAAAAAUUCAUGUUAAAUGCCUACUUAGC